GCCGGCGAUGGCCGGGUGCCACGGCAGGCGCGUUGCAAUCUCGCCGGCCAGUUCGCCCACCUCCGGGUUCCCGGCCUGCGCCGGCU
rnacentral:tRNA from 1 species